rnacentral:rRNA from 1 species
AACGAACGCUGGCGGCGCGCCUAAUACAUGCAAGUCGAGCGAGAAGACGUAGCAAUACGUUUGUAAAGCGGCGAACGGGUGAGGAAUACAUGGGUAACCUACCCUCGAGUGGGGAAUAACUAGCCGAAAGGUUAGCUAAUACCGCGUACGCUCCUUGGACUUCGGUUCAGGGAGGAAAGCGAUACCGUGGGUAUCGCGCUCUUGGAUGGGCUCAUGUCCUAUCAGCUUGUUGGUGGGGGAUGGCCUACCAAGGCGACGACGGGUAGCCGGCCUGAGAGGGCGACCGGCCACACUGGGACUGAGACACGGCCCAGACUCCUACGGGAGGCAGCAGUGGGGAAUCUUGCGCAAUGGGCGAAAGCCUGACGCAGCGACGCCGCGUGAGGGAUGACGGCCUGGUGU